AGUGAACGCUGGCGGCGUGCCUAAUACAUGCAAGUCGAACGGAGAUUAAGUAGCUUGCUAUUUAAUCUUAGUGGCGCACGGGUGAGUAAUAUAUAGCUAACUUGCCCAUUACUAAGGGACAACAGUUGGAAACGACUGCUAAUACCUUAUACUCCGUAUCUAUAUAAGUAGAUACGGGAAAGUUUUUCGGUAAUGGAUAGGGCUAUAUCGUAUCAGCUAGUUGGUAAGGUAAUGGCUUACCAAGGCUAUGACGCGUAACUGGUCUGAGAGGAUGAUCAGUCAAACUGGAACUGAGACACGGUCCAGACUCCUACGGGAGGCAGCAGUAGGGAAUAUUGCUCAAUGGGGGAAACCCUGAAGCAGCAACGCCGCGUGGAGGAUGACACUUUUCGGAGCGUAAACUCCUUUUCUUGGGAAAGAAUUAUGACGGUACCCAAGGAAUAAGCACCGGCUAACUCCGUG
rnacentral:rRNA from 1 species